rnacentral:rRNA from 1 species
UACGGAGGGGGCCAGCGUUGUUCGGAAUUAUUGGGCGUAAGGGGCGCGUAGGCGGCCGAUCAAGUCGGAGGUGAAAUCCCUCGGCUCAACUGAGGAACUGCCUUCGAUACUGUUCGGCUUGAGUCCUGGAGAGGGUAGUGGAAUUCCCAGUGUAGCGGUGAAAUGCGUAGAGACUGGGAAGAACACCAGUGGCGAAGGCGGCUACCUGGACAGGUACUGACGCUGCAGCGCGAAAGCUAGGGGAGCAAACAGG